rnacentral:rRNA from 1 species
AGUGAACGCUGACGGUAGGCCUAACACAUGCAAGUCGAACGGCAGCACAGUAAGAGCUUGCUCUUACGGGUGGCGAGUGGCGGACGGGUGAGGAAUACAUCGGAAUCUACUUUUUCGUGGGGGAUAACGUAGGGAAACUUACGCUAAUACCGCAUACGACCUACGGGUGAAAGCAGGGGAUCUUCGGACCUUGCGCGAUUGAAUGAGCCGAUGUCGGAUUAGCUAGUUGGCGGGGUAAAGGCCCACCAAGGCGACGAUCCGUAGCUGGUCUGAGAGGAUGAUCAGCCACACUGGAACUGAGACACGGUCCAGACUCCUACGGGAGGCAGCAGUGGGGAAUAUUGGGCAAUGGGCGCAAGCCUGAUCCAGCCAUACCGCGUGGGUGAAGAAGGCCUUCGGGUUGUAAAGCCCUUUUGUUGGGAAAGAAAAGCAGCAGGUUAAUACCCCGCUGUUCUGACGGUACCCAAAGAAUAAGCACCGGCUAACUUCGUG